CCUACGGGAGGCAGCAGUGGGGAAUAUUGGGCAAUGGGCGCAAGCCUGACCCAGCAACGCCGCGUGAAGGAAGAAGGCUUUCGGGUUGUAAACUUCUUUUCUCAGGGACGAAGAAAGUGACGGUACCUGAGGAAUAAGCCACGGCUAACUACGUGCCAGCAGCCGCGGUAAUACGUAGGUGGCAAGCGUUAUCCGGAUUUACUGGGUGUAAGGGGCGUGUAGGCGGGAAAGUAAGUCAGAUGUGAAAACCAUGGGCUUAACCUGUGGACUGCAUUUGAAACUGUUCUUCUUGAGUACUGGAGAGGCAGACGGAAUUCCUCGUGUAGCGGUGAAAUGCGUAGAUAUGAGGAGGAACACCAGUGGCGAAGGCGGUCUGCUGGACAGCAACUGACGCUGAGGCGCGAAAGCGUGGGGAGCAAACAGGAUUAGAUACCCCGGUAGUC
rnacentral:rRNA from 1 species